rnacentral:rRNA from 1 species
AUGGGGGAGGUUGGUGCUGAGUCUGCAGGCAUGAUCUACACCCAAGAUGGCACGGUGGACAUCAAGGGCAACCCGGCCGUCAAGAGUGACACCGGCAACUGGCGCGCCUGCCCCUACAUCCUUGCGAACGAAUGCUGCGAGCGGCUGGCCUACUACGGCAUGAGCGCCAACCUGAGCAACUUCAUGCUGGACAACAUGGGCAUGAACAACACCGCCGCCGCCAACAGCGUCACCAACUGGGGCGGCACCUGCUACGCCACCACCCUCAUCGGCGCCUUCCUCGCCGACGCCUACCUUGGCCGCUUCUGGACCAUCGCCUCCUUCGUCACCAUCUACAUCAUCGGCCUCGGGCUCCUCACGGUUACGGCCUCGGUGAAGGCGCUGGUGCCGACGUGCGCGGCCAAGGGGGUGUGCGACCCGACGGCGGGGCAAACGGCCGCGGUGUUCGUGGGCUUGUACCUCGUCGCUCUGGGCACGGGCGGCAUCAAGCCCUGCGUGUCCUCGUUCGGGGCCGACCAGUUCGACGAGAACGACGACGGCGAGCGCCGGAGCAAGAGCUCCUUCUUCAACUGGUUCUACCUGUCCAUCAACAUCGGCGCGCUGGUGGCGUCGUCCGUGAUGGUGUACGUGCAGGAGCACUACGGCUGGGCCUGGGGCUUCGGCAUCCCCGCCGUCGUCAUGGCCAUCGCCGUCGGCAGCUUCUUCGUCGGCACGCCGCUCUACCGCCACCAGCGCCCCGGCGGCAGCCCGCUCACCCGCAUCGCGCAGGUGCUCGUCGCCGCCACGCGCAAGCUCAGCGUCCCUGUCGACGGGUCGGCUUUGUACGAGACGAUGGACAAGGAGUCUGGCAUCAUGGGGAGCCGCAAGCUGGAGCACACCGAGCAGUUCAGGUUCCUCGACAAAGCGGCCGUGGAGACGCCGGAGGACAGGACGGAGACCGGGCCGUCGCCGUGGCGGCUGUGCACGGUGACGCAGGUGGAGGAGCUCAAGAGCGUGGUGCGGCUGCUGCCCAUCUGGGCGAGCGGCAUCGUCUUCGCGGCGGUGUACGGGCAGAUGAGCACCAUGUUCGUGUUCCAGGGAAACACCCUCGACAAGCGCAUGGGCGCCCACUUCUCCAUCCCGUCCGCCUCUCUCUCUAUCUUCGACACCAUCAGCGUCAUCGCCUGGGUGCCCGUCUAUGACCGCCUCCUCGUCCCGGCCGUCCGCUCCUUCACCGGCCACCCCCGCGGCUUCACGCAGCUCCAGCGCAUGGGUGUCGGCCUCGUCGUCUCAAUCUUCUCCAUGGUCGCCGCCGGCGUGCUCGAGCUCAUCCGUCUCCGCACGGUCGCGCGGCACGGGCUGUACGGGGAGAAGGACAUCGUGCCCAUCUCCAUCUUCUGGCAGGUGCCGCAGUACUUCAUCAUCGGCGCCGCCGAGGUGUUCGUCUUCGUGGGGCAGCUCGAUUUCUUCUACGACCAGGCGCCGGACGCCAUGAGGAGCAUGUGCACGGCGCUGUCGCUCACGGCGAUAGCGCUGGGGGGCUACGUGAGCACGCUGCUGGUGACCGUGGUGGCGAAGGUGACGACGAGGGGCGGAAAGGAAGGGUGGAUCCCGGCGAAGAACCUUAACGUCGGCCACCUCGACUACUUCUUCUGGCUGAUGACCGUGCUCAGCGUCGUCAACUUUGUUGUCUACCUACCCAUCGCCAAUUGGUACACCUACAAGAAGACCGCCGGAGCCGGAGACGACCAGGACGCCAACGAAGUAGGUGAUGGUUCGACUGCCGGAGCCGGAGACGACCCGGACGCCAACCAAGUAGGUGAUGAUUCGACUGCCGGAGCCGGACAUGACCAGGACGCCAACGAAGUAGGUGAUGAUUCACCUAAAUCAGGAGACAGAACAAAAUAG